rnacentral:rRNA from 1 species
GACAGAGGUGCCAAGCGUUAGGCGGAAUCACUGGGCUUAAAGCGUGUGUAGGCGGAUUUCUAAGUGCUUUGUGAAAUCCCACAGCUUAACUGUGGAAUUGCUUGGCAUACUGGGAGUCUUGAGCCAUCUAGGGGUUGCUGGAACAAACGGUGGAGCGGUGAAAUGCGUAGAUAUCGUUUGGAACGCCAAUGGUGAAAACAGGCAACUGGGGAUGUGCUGACGCUGAGACACGAAAGCCAGGGGAGCAAACGGG